rnacentral:rRNA from 1 species
CAGUAGCCGCGGUAAUACGUAGGUGGCGAGCGUUGUCCGGAAUUAUUGGGCGUAAAGGGAGCGCAGGCGGACAUAUAAGUCCAUCUUAAAAGUGCGGGGCUCAACCCCGUGAGGGGAUGGAAACUGGGAAGCUCAGAGUAUCGGAGAGGAAAGCGGAAUUCCUAGUGUAGCGGUGAAAUGCGUAGAUAUUAGGAGGAACACCAGUGGCGAAGGCAAUCUCCUGGGCCUGCACUGACGCUCAUGCACGAAAGCGUGGGGAGCAAACAGGAUUAGAUACCCCGGUAGUCCCUGUCUCUUAUAC